rnacentral:rRNA from 1 species
GCUCAGGAUGAACGCUGGCGGCGUGCUUAACACAUGCAAGUCGAGCGAAGCACUUAAGUUUGAUUCUUCGGAUGAAGACUUUUGUGACUGAGCGGCGGACGGGUGAGUAACGCGUGGGUAACCUGCCUCAUACAGGGGGAUAACAGUUAGAAAUGACUGCUAAUACCGCAUAAGACCACAGGGUCGCAUGACCCGGUGGUAAAAACUCCGGUGGUAUGAGAUGGACCCGCGUCUGAUUAGCUAGUUGGUGGGGUAACGGCUCACCAAGGCGACGAUCAGUAGCCGACCUGAGAGGGUGACCGGCCACAUUGGGACUGAGACACGGCCCAAACUCCUACGGGAGGCAGCAGUA